rnacentral:lncRNA from 1 species
GCACACCUGGCUCACGGCGAGUGCGGAGCAGAAAGCACUACUGGCGCGGGCCACAGCCAGCCGCUUUCAUCUGCUAAGACCUCACCUGAAAGGCGCACCAGUGCCCUCAAGGAUCCUCCCGCCUCUGCAGGAUGUCGAGGCUCCUCCUCGCCGGGAGGAGAAAGCGGAAUCCCCUCCCUGCAUUCUCGGACAGUGCCACGUCCUCCGGCUGCCAGCGGGGCAGCGCCGCUAGGUAUGUGAGCUUCAAAGUUGGAAGAAAUUAAGCAACAUGCUUUGGAAUCUAUGGUGAUCUAUAGAAAGGCAAAGUUUCUGGACUCACCCUGACUGAUGGAAAGACAGACUGCCUGCCAGGACACUACCCUGCUGUACCCAGUCUUAAGUAUAAUAAAGAUCUCAUUUUUUACUGUCAAUGCAAGCCACAUUUUCCUAUUAGGAAAAUGUGAAUGAAACAAAGUGCUCUUCAAGAGCAAACCCUGAAUUAUACUUUGGGUUAUUCUCUGUUCCUCAAAAGGAUUUUGCAUCUAACUGAUAGUCUCCAAAUUGUAAUGACAGUAUAUAGAUAGCUUGGUGUAGACAUACAGGUCAAUACAAAUGGAGAAAAGGCAAUUUGCCAUUGAAGAAUAUGUUUGCUUUAAGUAAAGAUCAAUAUACUAAGAAAGCUAUACAUAUCUAGACUUCCAAAAACAGAUGGGAAUAAACUACUCAGCAAUCAGAAUAUUCGAAGAUGGCACUCUGUUCACUUCCAGAGAAAAUAGUUCAAAACUGUAUCUCAAAGUGGAUAUAAGCUAUUGUACUAGAAUUAGUCCCUGUGUGAGCAUUUGGCAUUAUAAAAUAAGAUGUUCCCAAUGAAAAGAUCACUGGUAUGUAGAUAAUAAAAUGUGAAAAUAAAAAUUUAAAAAUAAAACAAAAAUUAUGUGAUAAUAAA